UACGUAGGUGGCAAGCGUUGUCCGGAAUUACUGGGUGUAAAGGGUGCGCAGGCGGGGAUACAAGUCAGCUGUGAAAACUAUCGGCUUAACUGAUAGACUGCAGUUGAAACUGUAUUUCUUGAGUGAAGUAGAGGUAGGCGGAAUUCCUAGUGUAGCGGUGAAAUGCGUAGAUAUUAGGAGGAACACCAGUGGCGAAGGCGGCCUACUGGGCUUUAACUGACGCUGAGGCACGAAAGUGUGGGGAG
rnacentral:rRNA from 1 species